rnacentral:rRNA from 1 species
UGCCCUUUGGCCUGGAAUAACACGAGGAAACUUGUGCUAAUACCGGAUAAGUCUUCACGGAGAAAGCUUUAUGCACCAUUGGAUGAGCCUGCACUUGAUUAGUUUGUUGGUAGGGUAAUGGCCUACCAAGACUGUGAUCAAUAGCUGAUUUGAGAGGAUGAUCAGCCACAUUGGGACUGAGACACGGCCCAAACUCCUACGGGAGGCAGCAGUGGGGAAUCUUGCACAAUGGAGGAAACUCUGAUGCAGCGAUGCCGCGUGAGUGAAGAAGGCCCUUGGGUUGUAAAGCUCUUUCGUCGGGGAAGAAAAUGACUGUACCCGAAUAAGAAGGUCCGGCUAACUUCGUGCCAGCAGCCGCGGUAAUACGAAGGGACCUAGCGUAGUUCGGAAUUACUGGGCUUAAAGAGUUCGUAGGUGGUUGAAAAAGUUGGUGGUGAAAUCCCAGAGCUUAACUCUGGAACUGCCAUCAAAACUUUUCAGCUAGAGUAUGAUAGAGGAAAGCAGAAUUUCUAGUGUAGAGGUGAAAUUCGUAGAUAUUAGAAAGAAUACCAAUUGCGAAGGCAGCUUUCUGGAUCAUUACUGACACUGAGGAACGAAAGCAUGGGUAGCGAAGAGGAUUAGAUACCCUCGUAGUCCAUGCCGUAAACGAUGUGUGUUAGACGUUGGAAGUUUAUUUUCAGUGUCGCAGCGAAAGCGAUAAACGCACCGC